GCGAGCCCACCUCCCACCCGUGUUUACUGUACCUUAGUUGCUUCGGCGGGCCCGCCAUUCAUGGCCGCCGGGGGCUCUCAGCCCCGGGCCCGCGCCCGCCGGAGACACCACGAACUCUGUCUGAUCUAGUGAAGUCUGAGUUGAUUGUAUCGCAAUCAGUUAAAACUUUCAACAAUGGAUCUCUUGGUUCCGGCAUCGAUGAAGAACGCAGCGAAAUGCGAUAACUAGUGUGAAUUGCAGAAUUCCGUGAAUCAUCGAGUCUUUGAACGCACAUUGCGCCCCCUGGUAUUCCGGGGGGCAUGCCUGUCCGAGCGUCAUUGCUGCCCAUCAAGCACGGCUUGUGUGUUGGGUCGUCGUCCCCUCUCCGGGGGGGACGGGCCCCAAAGGCAGCGGCGGCACCGCGUCCGAUCCUCGAGCGUAUGGGGCUUUGUCACCCGCUCUGUAGGCCCGGCCGGCGCUUGCCGAACGCAAAUCAAUCUUUUCCAGGUUGACCUCGGAUCAGGUAGGGAUACCCGCUGAACUUAAGCAUAUCAAUA
rnacentral:rRNA from 1 species